GGCAAAGGGUCCGCUAGCAGCUGGAUAUUCUCCAGGUUCACACAAGGAGGUAGAGUAUCAUCAUACCCGGUGUGCUCCCCAGCAUCUGGUGUACCGAGAGGGACCAGCGCUUGGCUAGUCAACGGACCAACCUCGGCAAACGGAAGGGAGGCAACACCAUAACUAGUUGACGGCUCCGCCUCAGACGGCAGGACAACAGCUAACACUUGAC
rnacentral:lncRNA from 1 species